rnacentral:rRNA from 1 species
CAAUAGCGUAUAUUAAAGUUGUUGCGGUUAAAAAGCUCGUAGUUGGAUUUCUGCCGAGGACGACCGGUCCGCCCUCUGGGUGAGUAUCUGGCUCGGCCUGGGCAUCUUCUUGGAGAACGUAGCUGCACUUGACUGUGUGGUGCGGUAUCCAGGACUUUUACUUUGAGGAAAUUAGAGUGUUUCAAGCAGGCACACGCCUUGAAUACAUUAGCAUGGAAUAAUAAGAUAGGACCUCGGUUCUAUUUUGUUGGUUUCUAGAGCUGAGGUAAUGAUUAAUAGGGAUAGUUGGGGGCAUUCGUAUUUAACUGUCAGAGGUGAAAUCCUUGGAUUUGUUAAAGACGGACUACUGCGAAAGCAUUUGCCAAGGAUGUUUUCAUUGA